AUAGCGUAUAUUAAAGUUGUUGUGGUUAAAAAGCUCGUAGUUGAACCUUGGGCCUGGCUGGCCGGUCCGCCUCACCGCGUGCACUGGUCCGGCCGGGCCUUUCCCUCUGCGGAACCCCAUGCCCUUCACUGGGUGUGGCGGGGAAACAGGACUUUUACUUUGAAAAAAUUAGAGUGCUCAAGGCAGGCCUAUGCUCGAAUACAUUAGCAUGGAAUAAUAGAAUAGGACGUGUGGUUCUAUUUUGUUGGUUUCUAGGACCGUCGUAAUGAUUAAUAGGGACAGUCGGGGGCAUCAGUAUUCAAUUGUCAGAGGUGAAAUUCUUGGAUUUAUUGAAGACUAACUACUG
rnacentral:rRNA from 1 species